ACAGGAAGAGUAUAUACACAGCUCGCUCCAUUCUUUGAUUGAGCUGUUUAGAUCGCAUAAGUCAGUGUAAAAUGAAUAGAAAUGUUAUGACGGAAAUAUUUUAGUAGCAUAUGAUAAUGAAUCAUUAUUUCUACAAAUGCGCGCUCCAUUGUACUAAUAAUCCUGGCGGAUUUUUGUAUGUAUCUGAGCACAAAUAAACCGGAGAAGAUGAGAAGUAAUGAUGUCUGAUGCAUGACUGCACGAUCUCCUUAAUCCAGGAAACAUCCGACAGUUUCUAUCACCCGGAGUGCUGCAGAAUAACAGUACUAUAAGCCGAUGGUGGGUGCUCUAUUGUCUUUCCGUUUUAACCGGAAAGGAAGCCAUUUUGUCUACUUUCUGGAAAGAUGCCACGCACGAAGCAAGCCCAGCGCUCCCAGGCUGCGAAGAAAAGAAUCGCGGACCGCAUGACCCCUGGUCCUGAAGAGGCCCUGCCACCUCUUAAAAAAAUGGCAGAAGUAACAGAACGUUGUGUACAUCACAACGGGGAUAAAAAGUGUGAUACUGAAGAGGCCCUGCCACCUCUUAAAAAAAUGGCAGAAGUAACAGAACGUUGUGUACAUCACAACGGGGAUAAACAGUGUGAUACUGAAGAGGCUCUGCCACCUCUUAAAAAAUUGGCAGAAAUGACUGAACGUUGUGUCCAUCACAACGGGGAUAAAAAAUCUGACAUAGCAAGAGGUCUAACAACUGGUCUAACAACUGAUCUAACAACUGGUCUAACAACUGAUCUAACAACUGAUCUAACAACUGGUCUAACAACUGGUCUAACAACUGAUCUAAACAAUGACGCUAAAAACACCGAUCCUAAUACUUGUGUUAACAUGACCAUGAAUGAUGUCUCUGAUUUGUGUCCGCAGAAAUCUUUCAUCAGAGGCUCUUUCCAUCAGGCAGCGAAGUGUUUUGGCAUCAAUAGUGGCAGGCAAUGUGCAGCAAACAGUUUAACUGCAAUUUUGAUGUGUAAGGUUAAAAGUGUGUUGCGAUGGACUCCGAGUCACCUGAAUGAUGUUCUGAUGCUUGGAGAUAAGCUGUACAGUGCCAUGAGAGAUGCUGGGAAAAUCCACGAUCAUUUCAACGGUUUCAUACAAAUUGCUGAGCUGCCUGACACACACACACUGAAUAAUUGGUGUUUUUCAAUAAAGU